CCUAUCGGGAGGCAGCAGUGGGGAAUAUUGGACAAUGGGCGCAAGCCUGAUCCAGCCAUGCCGCGUGCAGGAUGACGGUCCUAUUGGAUUGUAAACUGCUUUUGCACAGGAAAGAAACAACGCUACGUGUAGCGUCUUGACGGUACUGAUGAGAAUAAGGAUCGGCUAACUCCGUGCCAGCAGCCGCGGUAAU
rnacentral:rRNA from 1 species